rnacentral:rRNA from 1 species
GUUAGGAAUAUUGGACAAUGGGCGCAAGCCUGAUCCAGCCAUGCCGCGUGAGUGAUGAAGGCCUUCGGGUUGUAAAGCUCUUUAGUCCACGAAUAUAAUGACUGUAGUGGAAGAAUAAGCCCCGGCUAACUUCGUGCCAGCAGCCGCGGUAAUACGAAGGGGGCGAGCGUUAUUCGGAAUCACUGGGCGUAAAGCGUGCGUAGGCUGUUUUGUAAGUCAGAAGUGAAAGCCCAGGGCUUAACCCUGGAAUUGCUUUUGAAACUACAAGACUCGAAUUCGGGAGAGGAUAGCGGAAUUGUCAGUGUAGCAGUGAAAGGCGUAGAUAUUGACAGGAACACCAGUGGCGCAAGCGGCUAUCUGGACCGAUAUUGACGCUGAGGCACGAAAGCGUGGGGAGCAAACAGGAUUAGAAACCCCGGUAGUCC